rnacentral:lncRNA from 1 species
CGGUAGUCGGGGUUGGACAGGUUGCCGGUGAUGGUGGCGCCGUUGUUGGUGAGGUCGGUGCAGUUGUAGGGCACGGUGUCGUUGGUGGUGGCGAUGCAGGUGUUGUUCAUGGCCACGCACUCGCCCUCGUACUCGGCGCCGCGGUCGGCCAGGUCGCAGCGCAUGUAGGCGGUGGUGUUGCCCAGCCACUCCACCAGGUUGUACGACACCUGGAACGCGCCCAGCGAGGAGUUGGUGGGCGCCGGCACGCUGAAGCUGGUGGCGCCGGCGUUGAUGAAGGCGUCGUACACGUCGCCCACGGUGGCGUUGGGGAAGGUGUAGUUCUGGUAGCUGGUGAUGGGCGUGGGCAGCGCGAUGGCGCGCACGUCCGCAAUCUGCUCCUGCACCUCGGCGAUGCGCGCCGCCGCGCGCGGGCGCAGGCUGAGCAGGUGCACGGUGGUGUUGUACACGAUGCGGCGCGUCAUGUUGAGCGCGGCGCGCUGCGGCUCCGUGCUGUACUUAACACCGUCCACGUACAGCGGGUACAGG